GCAUGCCGCGUGCAGGAUGAAGGCCUUCGGGUUGUAAACUGCUUUUGUACGGAACGAAACGGUGAGCUCUAAUACAGUUUGCUAAUGACGGUACCGUAAGAAUAAGCACCGGCUAACUACGUGCCAGCAGCCGCGGUAAUACGUAGGGUGCGAGCGUUAAUCGGAAUUACUGGGCGUAAAGCGUGCGCAGGCGGUGAUGUAAGACAGAUGUGAAAUCCCCGGGCUCAACCUGGGACCUGCAUUUGUGACUGCAUCGCUAGAGUACGGUAGAGGGGGAUGGAAUUCCGCGUGUAGCAGUGAAAUGCGUAGAUAUGCGGAGGAACACCGAUGGCGAAGGCAAUCCCCUGGACCUGUACUGACGCUCAUGCACGAAAGCGUGGGGAGCAAACAGGAUUAGAUACCCUGGUAGUCCACGCCCUAAACGAUGUCAACUGGUUGUUGGGUCUUCACUGACUCAGUAACGAAGCUAA
rnacentral:rRNA from 1 species